rnacentral:lncRNA from 1 species
GUUGGCAUCAUGGUGUAAGCACAUGUCAAAGUGAGAACUCAUGUUGUAUGAACUUCCAUGAGGCCUCCCAUCUCUUCUCCCCAGUUCUUACCAUCAUACCCCAGAAAACCAACCUCCCUCACAGGAAUUCUCCAGCAGCAAGCAGCUCCGGAGACGAAGCUGUCCUGAGGACCAAGAUGCCACAUCUGCACCCCAAGAUAAAGAAUCUACAUCAGCUGCUGUCGGAAGGGAGGACAUCAGCCACGGUGAGCAUCACCAACGUGAGAGAAGAGAGGACUUGGAUGGAUGAGCUCCUGACACCUCCUCACCUCCAGCUUGGAAAUGAGCAGUCAGCCUCUCAUAACUGACUAGAUGCACCUCGCUAGUGGGAUGAAAAAGACCGUUUCUAAGAUGUCAUUGCUGCAGGGUCUCUCUGCCCCAAGUCACCCACCUGUCUACAGGUUCACAGGAUCGUGCAGGGUGUUCACCAUAGCCAGGGGGCGGGGCAGGAGUGGAAUGACCAGAUUACACUGGUUUCUUGCAAAGGGCCAUUCUUCCAAGUCUGUACCGCUGAAUCAAGACUGUCCAUACAUGAACUCACAAGCCCUUUUCAUGUGCUUGCUACAAGGUAGGGCGUGUGCUAGGUCCUAAGGGUGCAGGGUAUAGUGUAUGUAAUUUAGAUGAAAAUGUCCCUCGAAAGUCUAUGUGCUAAAGUCUGGUCCUCAGUUGGCACUGUUGGAAGGCAGUAGAAACUUUGAGAUGUGGGGAAGAGUUGGGGGGUCUUGAGUUCAUGGGGUAGAUGCCUUAGGAUGGGAUGGUGGAACGGAGACCUUUCCGUUUUUCUCCUUUUUGUUUCCUGUCAAUGUGGUGAAUGAUUUGGAUCUCUGUGUGUUCCCACUAUGAUGUGCUUUGCUGGUCCAGGCCCGAAGCAACCGGAACUAACAGCACUCUCCACUCUGUGAUGAGAUGCUUAGCUCAGCUAUUUGUUCCUGUGAGGAGAAGCUGACAGACACUUGGUUGUGAGCAAAACCAAACAUGGCACCUAUUCUCAUGGAGUGUGUAGUCACGCCAGAAUAAGGGACAAGGAUUAACCCCAAAGAUAAGGGCAAUUCUACCGCCAGAAGAGCAACUACAUAUAAAAUGGAUGCAAGCAGACUUCCCUGACCUAGAGAGGUUUGUGGGCGACUCUAGUAGAAGCUGAGCUUGGAAAGGCUAAGUGAAGGCCGAAAGGGAAAGUCGCCAGUAUCCAGCUGUGAGGAGACCCAGUGGCCCUGUGGACUGAGCAGUCAGGUUGUGGAUAGGUCUUCUGUGGGUGGCAGACAGGGAACAGGAAGGGGCUUAGACACAGUGGAGAUGGAGAAGGAUUGGCUGGCUGUGUGUGUGAAGAGAAGCUGGAACAGCUAGAUGCUUCCAGAAAAGGAGGAUGCCUUGGGGCUGAAUGUGCUGAGGGCAAAAGCAGAGAGACAGGUCCUUCCCUGUUCGAGGAGUUCAAGUGCCCCCUUUCUUCCUCAGAGCAUCAUGUAAAUAAGGUCUGAGAAUCACCUGGGAGCACUAAGAGAAGGGCUUCAUUCAGAUGACACAAACCCCACAGAAU